UACGUAGGGUGCAAGCGUUGUCCGGAAUUAUUGGGCGUAAAGAGCUCGUAGGCGGUCUGUUGCGUCGGCUGUGAAAACCCGGGGCUCAACUCCGGGCCUGCAGCCGAUACGGGCAGACUAGAGUUCGGCAGGGGAGACUGGAAUUCCUGGUGUAGCGGUGAAAUGCGCAGAUAUCGAGAGGAACACCUGCGGCGAAGGCGGGUAGCUGGGCCGACACUGACGCUGAGGCGCGAAAGCUAGGGGAGCAAACGGG
rnacentral:rRNA from 1 species